GAUGAACGCUGGCGGCGUGCCUAAUACAUGCAAGUCGAGCGAACGGACGAGAAGCUUGCUUCUCUGAUGUUAGCGGCGGACGGGUGAGUAACACGUGGAUAACCUACCUAUAAGACUGGGAUAACUUCGGGAAACCGGAGCUAAUACCGGAUAAUAUUUUGAACCGCAUGGUUCAAAAGUGAAAGACGGUCUUGCUGUCACUUAUAGAUGGAUCCGCGCUGCAUUAGCUAGUUGGUAAGGUAACGGCUUACCAAGGCAACGAUGCAUAGCCGACCUGAGAGGGGGAUCGGCCACACUGGAACUGAGACACGGUCCAGACUCCUACGGGAGGCAGCAGUAGGGAAUCUUCCGCAAUGGGCGAAAGCCUGACGGAGCAACGCCGCGUGAGUGAUGAAGGUCUUCGGAUCGUAAAACUCUGUUAUUAGGGAAGAACAUAUGUGUAAGUAACUGUGCACAUCUUGACGGUACCUAAUCAGAAAGCCACGGCGAACUACGU
rnacentral:rRNA from 1 species